AGGCCAUAUCACGUAGAAACACCGGUUCUCAUACGAUUAUGGAAGUUAAGCAACGUCGAUCCUUGUCAGUACCUAAAUGGGUGACCGCUUGGGAAUACCAGGUGCUGUAAG